rnacentral:rRNA from 1 species
UACGGGGGGGGCAAGCGUUGUUCGGAAUUACUGGGCGUAAAGCGUGCGUAGAUGGCCUGUUAAGUCGGAUGUGAAAGCCCCGGGCUCAACCUGGGAAUGGCAUCCGAUACUGGUGGGCUAGAGUGCGGUAGAGGAGAGCGGAAUUCCCGGUGUAGCGGUGAAAUGCGUAGAGAUCGGGAGGAACAUCCGUGGCGAAGGCGGCUCUCUGGACCAGCACUGACGUUGAGGCACGAAAGCGUGGGGAGCAAACAGG